GUGGGGAAUCUUAGACAAUGGGCGCAAGCCUGAUCUAGCCAUGCCGCGUGAGCGAUGAAGGCCUUAGGGUUGUAAAGCUCUUUCGUGGGGGAAGAUAAUGACUGUACCCCAAGAAGAAGCCCCGGCUAACUCCGUGCCAGCAGCCGCGGUAAUACGGAGGGGGCUAGCGUUGUUCGGAAUUACUGGGCGUAAAGCACACGUAGGCGGACUGGAAAGUCAGGGGUGAAAUCCCGGGGCUCAACCCCGGAACUGCCUUUGAAACUCCCAGUCUUGAGUUCGAGAGAGGUGAGUGGAAUUCCGAGUGUAGAGGUGAAAUUCGUAGAUAUUCGGAGGAACACCAGUGGCGAAGGCGGCUCACUGGCUCGAUACUGACGCUGAGGUGCGAAAGCGUGGGGAGCAAACAGGAUUAGAUACCCGGGUAGUCC
rnacentral:rRNA from 1 species